rnacentral:lncRNA from 1 species
UUUAUUAUCUUUGAAGGAGGCCUAAUUGAAUUAAAGUCAUUGGGCUUUGGUAUUGGCCCAAAGAAUUUCAAGUUGGCUGGCCGUGAACCCCUUACCCCAGCAUGGCAUAGACCGUAUCAUAAUUACGCCUCGCCGUGAGUCCCAUCACAGUAGCUCAAAUUGCAACUGAAGGAUACCAAUUCAACAAAUAAAGAGCUAAUAUUUACAUAGCUGGACUAAAUCCUGAUUUUUAUACAAACAGAGUUAAUUCAAACAAGUUCGAACAAAGUUAUACUUAAGCUUGGAAGUGAGUUCAAAUUCGAGUUUGCCAUUCUAUUCAUUGCAUAUCUCUUUACAAUUCAUUUGAGCAUGGAUAGAGACGAACAAAGGUGAUCUUCAUGUGAUUUUAUCUUUGUUCCUUAACAGACUUUAUGAUUUAACUAUGAACUCACUACUAAGUUAUGGAAACUAAAAUACAGAAUUGUUUCAAACACAUGUUGAAAUACAGAAUUUUUCCUUUUGUCCUAUGCGCCGAGGGUCGAUUGGAAACAGCCUCCCUGCCCUUUCGGGUAGGGGUAAGGCUUGUCUACAUAUUACCCUCCUCAGACUCCCAUCUGGUGCGAAUAUACUAGGUAGUUGUUGUUGUUGUUGUAGUCUCAACCAACUGAAUCUACUAUCUCCAGGUGUCAUACUCAUCAUAUUGAAAUUCAAAACAUUCCAAAAGUAGGCCAAAACAACUCAGAACAGUCCAAUCUUAAUUACAAUGAAUCUAUACACCAGAUCAAGGGACUACACAUAAUAUAAUUGACUAACAAAACAACAAGGUUUACAGCAGAAGGCAAACAACAACUUCAUUUCAAGUUUUGACUGGAGAAACUACAUCAGAUCAGUUUUUAAGGCGUGUACCUGAAGUUGAAAUACAACUAAGAAGAAGGAGUCGGCAGUAUUAAUGAUCAAAGCAGUGAGAUUAAUGGCAACAACAGGAACAAUUCUAGAAUAAACACAUCUUCACAAAAACCCAGGAGUGGACUGGAGAGUUACAACACUAAUAUCUAACCCAAAACCAAACUCAAAUAAAUCGAAGACACCCAGAAAUAAACCAGUAAACUUUAGGAAAAGCUUCAGCAACUAGAAACACCUAGAAUAACUUGAAGAAACCCAAAAAUAGCUUGAAACUCGAAUCCAGAAUACUAAGGACUCAAAUUCCUUCUGAAAUUUCAAUCGAACAGUACCUGUUUUGGAUUUUUCUUUGUUGUUUUCUAUUUAUUUUUUUUUUUGGUUUUUGAAGGUUUUUUGAAUUUGAAAUUCAAAUUUUGAUUUGAAACUUGUUGAGCAAUUUUGAGGGAAAUUUUCAGAUCUGUCCCACUUGUAAAACAAGACAGAAAUUACUUCCUUUUAUAGGCAAAGUUAAAGGAAACUUCAGAUUUUCAU